rnacentral:rRNA from 1 species
GACGAACGCUGGCGGCGCGCUUAACACAUGCAAGUCGAACGGAAAGGCCUGCUUUCCCUUGUGGAUUGCGGGUACUCGAGUGGCGAACGGGUGAGUAACACGUGAGUGAUCUGCCCCCAACUUGGGUAUAAGCCUGGGAAACUGGGUCUAAUUCCCGAUAGGACUGCAGGGUGGUGCCUGUGGUGGAAAGCGAUUUUCUAGUGGUUGGGGAUGAGCUCGCGGCCUAUCAGCUUGUUGGUGGGGUAAUGGCCUACCAAGGCGGCGACGGGUAGCCGGCCUGAGAGGGUGGACGGCCACAUUGGGACUGAGAUACGGCCCAGACUACUACGGGAGGCAGCAGUGGGGAAUAUUGCACAAUGGGCGGAAGCCUGAUGCAGCGACGCCGCGUGGGGGAUGACGGCCUUCGGGUUGUAAACUCCUUUCGACCGCGAGGAAGCCACCUGGUUGGAAGGGUGGUGACGGUAGUGGUAGAAGAAGCACCGGCUAACUACGUG